rnacentral:rRNA from 1 species
UGGGGAAUUUUGUGCAAUGGGCGAAAGCCUGACACAGCGACACCGCGUGAGCGAAGAAGCCCUUUGGGGUGUAAAGCUCUGUCAGCUGGAACGAAAAAAAUGACGGUACCAGCAGAGGAAGCAUCGGCUAACUACGUGCCAGCAGCCGCGGUAAGACGUAGGAUGCAAGCGUUGUCCGGAUUUAUUGGGCGUAAAGAGUUCGUAGGUGGUUUGUUAAGUCUGAUGUUAAAGAUCGGGGCCCAACCCCGGGACUGCAUUGGAUACUGGCAGACUGGAGUGUAGUAGAGGCAAGCGGAAUUCCCAGUGUAGCGGUGAAAUGCGUAGAUAUUGGGAAGAACACCAGUGGCGUAAGCGGCUUGCUGGGCUAUAACUGACACUGAGGAACGAAAGCCAGGGGAGCGAAUGGGAUUAGAUACCCCCGUAGUCC